UAACAUGGCACAGCACCAAAUUCCAAAAUUAUCGAGGUCACACAUGGUAACAGGAAUUGAGCAUUCAAAAAUGUGAUUGUGCUUUAUAUAUCUGAAAUCUAUUGCCACCAGUGGGUCACUCAGUGUAGGCAUACACUAUUUUAAAGGGGCACUAUAGUCACCAGAAAAACUACAGCUUAAUGUUCUGGUGACUAUAGUCAGUCCCUGCAAGCUUUUUGCUGUAAACGCUGC